rnacentral:rRNA from 1 species
GCUGGCGGAGUGCCUAAUACAUGCAAGUCGAGCGGGACUCNUCGGAGUCCAGCGGCGGACGGGUGAGUAACACGUGGGCNACCUGCCUAUAAGACUGGGNAUAACACCGGGAAACCGGUGCUAAUACCGGAUAAUCCUUUUUCUCUCAUGAGGGAAAGCUGAAAGACGGCGUAAGCUGUCACUUACAGAUGGGCCCGCGGCGCAUUAGCUAGUUGGUGAGGUAACGGCUCACCAAGGCGACGAUGCGUAGCCGACCUGAGAGGGUGAUCGGCCACACUGGGACUGAGACACGGCCCAGACUCCUACGGGAGGCAGCAGUAGGGAAUCUUCCGCAAUGGACGAAAGUCUGACGGAGCAACGCCGCGUGAGCGAUGAAGGCCUUCGGGUCGUAAAGCUCUGUUGUUAGGGAAGAACAAGUAUCGGAGUAACUGCCGGUACCUUGACGGUACCUAACCAGA